UUUGGCAGUUCGAGUGUUAAUGAUUUUAGGACAUUAUCAACUCCUGAGGCCUUCUCAGCAGCAGGAUAUCCACACAGUGACCCUGUGAGGGGCACAUCGUUGUUUGUUCCUUCAAUCCUGAGACCAUUUGCUCUAGAGCUCAUGAAGGGGUGGCUCCUCAACCAGCCCUCCCAACUCCAAAUUUCAAGCUCACCCCACAAGCUUCCUCACCAAAUGUGUGUAUUGCAAACUUUGGGCAUCAAGUCCUGCUGGUUUUGGAUGGCAGGGACCCCUGGACUACCCUAGCCGCAUCAUUCAGC